UGGGGAAUAUUGCACAAUGGGCGCAAGCCUGAUGCAGCCAUGCCGCGUGUAUGAAGAAGGCCUUCGGGUUGUAAAGUACUUUCCGCGGGGAGGAAGGUGUUGUGGUUAAUAACCACAGCAAUUGACGUUACCCGCAGAAGAAGCACCGGCUAACUCCGUGCCAGCAGCCGCGGUAAUACGGAGGGUGCAAGCGUUAAUCGGAAUUACUGGGCGUAAAGCGCACGCAGGCGGUCUGUCAAGUCGGAUGUGAAAUCCCCGGGCUCAACCUGGGAACUGCAUCCGAAACUGGCAGGCUUGAGUCUUGUAGAGGGGGGUAGAAUUCCAGGUGUAGCGGUGAAAUGCGUAGAGAUCUGGAGGAAUACCGGUGGCGAAGGCGGCCCCCUGGACAAAGACUGACGCUCAGGUGCGAAAGCGUGGGGAGCAAACA
rnacentral:rRNA from 1 species